GAGGGGGGCCGAGAGGGAAAGAGGGAUGGGGCAGACGGGGAUGGAGAUAAUGGGGGGGGAGAGAGAAGGGGGGAGAACUUGUAUGGGGAGAGGGAGGAGAGGAUUGUGUUCUAUCUCCCUGCCCUUGAAAAGAGAAAGGCUCCCCUGCUUUCAAUCGUUCACUUGAGAAGGGAGAGUGAUGUGGUGGGGGAAAGAGGAAUGAUGGGUAUCCCUUGGCACUUAUAAGACUAAGCACCUUAAACUGAACUAAUGCACUUUAUUAUUAAGAGGGGAUUUGAAUAGGGUUUUUGUUGUCAGUGUACGUACGGUGUGUGUGUGUAUUGAAUCUACACAAGAUGCUGUACAUAUACACGUGAAAAUCUGAACUGGAAGGGUUAGGUGAGGUGUAAGGUUGGUGGGAUAGAUUCACUGGGAGGGGGAACUCAAAGAUAGAGGGGACCUUUUUUAUUUUGAAACCUUAUCAGAAAAACAAAUCCUUUCUUGAAAGACAAACACUGUUGUUUUUUGUUUUUUACAAUACAUUUAUAUGAAAAGUAAAGCUAUGACAAAAAAAAUACAUAAAAAAAAACUUGAAGACUUGCACUUGUGUUAAAAAAAACAAAGAUAAAAAAAUAGAAAAACAAAUUAGAGAUUAAUAUUUCUGUGUGUGUGUGCGUGCGUGUCUGUGUGUGCGUGCGUGUGUGCAUUGUGCAGACUAGUAUGUUUCUAAUGUCUGUUAUUUUUUCUCCAUUGCUUACCAAGAUGUAUGAACACAUACCAGGCCAUUAUGUCAUUUUGUUCAAAUAAGAAUUGUUGUAUUUUCCAUGAGUAGAAUGUGUCCUCUUGUACAGAGGGACUUUCUUUGUAUCUACGUGUGUGCGUGUGCGUGUGUAUGAUUGUGUGUGUGACAGAGAGAGGGGGCAAUGGCACAACACAUCCUUUCUCUCACCAGCUCUUCAUCCCCAGAGAAACGUAAUAGAAAUUCAGACAUUUGUAGAGGAGGAUUAUGGCUUUGCGCUCCUUCGUGUGUUGUUAAAGCACCACUUGUUUCUGGGGUGUUUUGGAGUACGGGCUGAUGGAGCAGUGCCCCUCCCCGCUGUCUUCUCUCAGCCACGGCCUCUGAGCGUGUGUGUGUGUGUGUGUGUGUGUGUGUGUGUGUGUGUGUGUGUGUGUGUGUGUGUGUGUGUGUGUGUGUGUGUGUGUGUGUGUGCAUGCAUGCACAUUUGUGCCUAAGAACUCUGAAAGGGUAAAUGGGACAGAGGGAAUGUUCAAUGGCCAUUGAGACAUUUACUUUUUGAGUGUGUUAUGUUUAUGUUAAGCGCUCUGUGUAUGUCAAUCAUAUAUCCUAAUAUUUCAGGUUUAGUCUGGGGAUGAUGAUUCAUUGGAAGGUUAGUCCAGUUUAAGUUUCCUGGGAUGUGAUCUCGUUGCCUUGUCAGUUCUCUUUAACUCGCGUGUGGAAGGUGUGCGUGCGGUUUCAGAUUCUGCUCAAAACAAUUAGCAUCAAACUGUCCACGUACAGGAUGGUGCACAAAAUGUUAGCAUAUUCUUGUGUUACUUAUUCAUUAUUGUUGCUAUUGUUGAUGAUGACGUUUCUUUUUUAGGAAUAUAAAUGAAAAUGCAUACAUGAAUAAUCAAAGAAGAAAAAAAAAAGUAUUUGGACUACGAUUAUGAUGAACACUGCUAUUUUUUUAAUUUUUUUAUCCCUUAAUUUUGUUUUUGUUGCAUUACCGCCAUGUGAAGUGCGUUUUGUUAUUUCUUUCUUAAGAAAACAUUGAAUGUAUUCCCAAAAAAGUCAAAAAAAUGUGAUACGGGAUUUCUUUCCUCACAAAAUGUCUAAAAAUGGAAUCUAAAAAAACCCUAAAAAUCUAAGAUUGAAGAGGUUGGCGAGUUCUUUACUCUUUUCUUUUUCUUCACAAAAAAGGAAGAACUCGGGAAGGCUACAGUUGAACACACUGCCUCUGCAAUCCUGUUCGUACAAAAACAAUAUUACUAUGAAAAAAUAAAGAACAGACUCUUUACUAUUCCUUACUGGAGUUUUGGUUGUUUACAAAACACAUGGAUUUCUGUGGGUGCAGUUUUUGGGGGGUUAGGGUGGAUAGUGGGUAAGGGCAGGGUUUUGCAAGUGCGCUUCUGCAAAAUGGACAUUCAGUGGCCUAUGUUGUUUUGACCGGAAGGAAGAAGGACAUCACAAUGUGACCCUUUAGUGGAUGUGGCUCUUUUAACUGACUGAUCAUCAAGGAGUGCAGGUGAAAAAUCAAAGAUUGUCAUUUCUUUUUUUUCUUUUUUACUGCCUGUAUUUGAAUUCAAGGACUAAGUGUUUCUGUUCGUGGAGUAGAAAGCUUAAUCAAAAAGCAGAAACAGCAAAGGAGUUUUUGGUACUUAAAACAUGCAUAAAGGAAACAAUAUCAUCGCUUUAAUACAUAAGUCUCCUGGAGUAAAAAUAUGGAGUACAUUUUUUUCUUUCUCCUUGAACAUGUAAACGAAACAAAGAUGGACAAACCCGUGAGGAGGAGUGGUUGAGAAUAAAGGAAAUGUAAGAAGAUUUUGUAAAACCGUACAUACAAAUGACAUUGACCUCAAAUCUACCAUUGCAUUCAAUUGGACCGUGUGCAGGCAGAAUUAUUUUUCCUUUUUUGUUUAAAAGGGGUCUCAGGGUGUGCAGUGGGGGUAUUUUAACCCUGCGAUGAGGGGAAAUGAAAGGAUACUAGUACUGAUCUCUGGUGGACACCCAUCAGCCCUCGUCAACACUCACUGUUGACGAGGGCUGCCCCGACCACUCUCACUAUGCACUUUGGUUCAUUCAAACUGUGAGGUGCCAUCACAUUUGGGAUAGGAGCACAGAAAUAUUGUAGUACAAAGGGAGGGUUUAAAAAAAAAUGUAACUUUGAGUUAAUACCGUCUCACUGAAAACAAGAUUUUCGAAACGAGAGACAGGAACACGCCUUCUUCCUCCUGUACAUAACCAUAUUUUUGUAUUAGGCCUAACUUUAAAGAAGAUCACUUGGACAAAACUGCAAGGCUUGAUAUACAGACUAACAGAAGAAGGAAAUUCACGAGACAUUGAUUUACAGAGUGAACAAUCCUGUGGUAAAUGAAUUACCUGAAAAUUCCCCAAACUUUGCCAGUAGCCCCAUGUCUUCAGGGAUGGGGAAAGAAAAGACUUAACAUGGAUGGCGCUGGGGACUGCAGGGACUCCCAAGACUGAAUGAUGAUCGCUGCUGCAGAACCCAGCCCAGAGUGUUUGACCAACCAAUGGAGAAGGCAGGGGAGAGACACUCAGGCGGAUGUACCAGGGGACCUGCUGCCCAGAUGCCCCCCCCCCCCACCCAAACUUCUGUCACCUAGCCACUACCUGGAGAUCAAUCACGAGCUGACUGCAAGAAGACAACCAUCAUAUGGGGUCCUCACUGUUCCUAGCUGCCCUCUGCUGGAGAGAAGAUGGAGCAGAUCCUCAGCCCUUUCUUCUUCCACUCCUCCUCUCUGCACCCCUGGUGGUGAAAGAGCAGGAGCCACAUCAGCUGCAGUAGCAGAGGACCUGGAACCAUGGAGAAACUGACCACACACACACAGCUUUACACACAUGUCCAUGCAGCAUUCUCAAAUACUCUCUUUUCAAGUACCACAUUCUUGAAAACCACACACACACACACACACACACACACACACACACACACACACACACACACACACACAAAAGCAGAAAGGCUCAAUACCAUACACUUGAGUUCUGACUGCUAUGUAAAUAAUAUAAAAGUAUUUUCUUUUUUCUGUUCAACAUGCCUUAACUGUGGAGAUCCACUUUUGUAUGGCAAACUCUAAAACAUAUAUUAACAGUAAGAGUGAAAGCCAGUUGGAGAACCUGAUAAAGACUAUAGCAUUUGAAUAAGGGGGGGUGGUGUCAAUGUUCUACUUACCUGGACGGCGUCUUAUUGACGAACAAUACUGUUGUAUGUUACGUUAUUUCUAUCCAGCAUCUAUGGCAACAAAGUAGAACUGAAGGCAAUCCCUGACAACGAUGAUUAAGACUGAUGGUUUGCCUUUUUUCAAAGCAAGAGUGACUGUUCUGUUAUCCAGUUUUAAAUGCCCAGACAUGUAGCUGAAGGUGCAGGCUGAGUAAUGAGGAAUCUGAAGCCUGUGUAUUAUGGAGCUGAGCUGACCAGGAAGAGUGUGUUAAAUAAACCCUUAUGUUCCUUUACAGUUCUACACAGUGCCCCACUACAUAUUACUGUGUACCCCAUCACUGUAGUCAUUUUUUGACAAAGGAUUUUGACCCAAUGAUUUUGACAGUUUGAGACUUGAUUUGAAAGAAGUGUUUUAUCCUGUUGAGGACCACCCUUUAAAAUGAAGGAUAUACAGUGCCCUCUGUAGUUAUUGAAGAGUUGUUUUUCUUAUUUUGGCUCUGCACUCCACAAGUUUUGAUUUUAAAUCAAACAGUUAUGAGGUUAAAGCAUAGGUUCUCUGCUUUUAUUUGAGGGUAUUUGUGUGUACAUAUUGGUUCCACUAUUUAGAAACGACGACACUCUUUAUGCAUAGUCACCCCAUUUCAAGGGACCAAAAGUAUUGGGACAAAUUCACCUGUGUGUAUUAAUGUAGUAAAAAGUGAAACAUUUGGUCCCAUAUUCAUAACAUGCAAUGGCUACAUCAGCAAUGUGACUACAAACUUGUUGGAGGCAUUUGCUGUUUGUUUUGGUUGUUUCAGAUUCAUUUGUGCCCAAUAGAAAUGAAUGGUAAAUGUCUUGUCAUUUGGAGUCACUUAUAUUCUAUUCUUAUUUACAAUAAGUUUCUAAACACUUCUACAUUAAUGUGGAUGCUACCAUUAUUACAGAUAAUCCUGAAUGAGGCUUGAAUAAUGGAGUGAGAUCAUACCCCCAAGACAUGCUCACCAUUACAAUAACAGGAGGUUAGCAUUUUUGGGAGGUACGAUAUUUGUGCGUUUUUUACUUUAUCACUCAUUAUUCACGAUUCAUUCAGAAUUAUCAGUAUUGAUGGCAGCAUCCACAUUCAUGAAGUGUUUAUAAACAUAUUCUUAUUAACAAUAAAAGUGAUUCCAAAAUGACCCAACACAUUUACCAUGAAUUUCUAUUGGGCACAAAAUAAUCUGAAACGCAACCAAAACAAACAGCGAAUGCAUCCAACUAAUUUGUUUAGUCACAAGCUUGAUGUAGCCAUUGUGUGCUAUGAAUAUGGGACCAAAUAUUUCACUUGUUACUACUUUAAUACACACACAAGUGAAUUUGUCCCAAUACUUUUGGUCCCCUAAAAUGGGGGGGACGAUGUAUAAAAAGUGUUGUCAUUUGUAAAUGGUGAAACCAAUAUGUACACAAAUACCCUCAAAUAAAAUCAGAGAAUGUAUAGUUUAACCUCAUAGUAAUUGUUUGAUUUAAAAUCCAAACCUUUGGAGUAUAGAGCCAUAAGAACAAAAAAUGCUUCACUGUUCCAAUAAUUUGAGGGCACUGUAUCUCUUUUUGGUGGUCCUCUGAGUAGAUUAUCUUUGUAGAUUGUCUAUUUGACACUUUGAUUACUGACCAUUGUACAGAUUGUCCUUGUAUAUUAGAAGCAUCUUACUAAUGUGAAUGGCUGUGUAUGUUGUAUGUAUGCCAUCUAUGCAGUUGGUAAUGGUUUUGUCUGUCUCUUUAAUAGAAACCAGGUUUUCAAUAGAGAAGCUCAAUUCUUCCCCUGUCAGUCAGGUUGAACGGAUUAAUUGUUUUGUAAAGUGUUUUCCUAUUUAGAAUCUGCUUCGGUUGGUCAGACAAACGAAUAUUAACUUUGGGAGAUGAGACCCUCUACUUUGAAUGAAAAAUAAAUAAAUAUAUAUGAGAUAUAGUUUGGAUCAGUUGAUCUAUUAGUUAAUGCAACUGGAGGAAUAUCUAAAAUGUCACUGAAGUAUUUUAUGAAUACUGUGGAUUUUGACUUCUAUCUUUCAACUCCAUCAGUGUUGGAUAAGAAUACCGUUCAUAGGCUGGUUUGCAGUGAACUGUUAAUAUGUAGCCAUCUCUAAAUUAUUAUUCUCUGAGUUAUAUGUGGGUGUUUCAUUUUUUAAAGUUAGCAUUGUAAUUGUUGGUCACCUGUAGGAGAACAGUGGGUCUGUUCUGUCUUUCUGUUAAUCAUUGAAGUUCAAAGUUAUUGAUGUUUUGGCACUGUGAUGCCCCUGGGUGAGAUUGCCAUGACUUUGACGUAUGAUUCAUCAACAAACAGAUUUUGAUCAAAUUAUAUCCAUUUUCUUUUCCCCCCCAAAUGGUUGGCUCAGUUCCAUCGCUUAAACUUUUUGAAUGUUUUAGAGAUAAGUAACAUAAAAACAAAUGCAUUCAGAAAAAUAACCUAAAAAGUGUAAAUAGUUUGGGUUUUGUUGGUUUGAAGAGAACAAAAAAUGAUUAAAUAAAAUGCAUUUAACAAUG